rnacentral:rRNA from 1 species
AACGAACGCUGGCGGCAGGCUUAACACAUGCAAGUCGAGCGCCCCGCAAGGGGAGCGGCAGACGGGUGAGUAACGCGUGGGAACCUACCUUUCGGAUCGGAAUAACUCGGGGAAACUCGAGCUAACACCGGAUACGCCCUUCGGGGGAAUGAUUUAUCGCCGAAAGAUGGGCCCGCGUUGGAUUAGCUAGUUGGUGGGGUAAUGGCCCACCAAGGCGACGAUCCAUAGCUGGUCUUAGAGGAUGAUCAGCCACACUGGGACUGAGACACGGCCCAGACUCCUACGGGAGGCAGCAGUGGGGAAUAUUGGACAAUGGGGGAAACCCUGAUCCAGCCAUGCCGCGUGAGUGAUGAAGGCCUUAGGGUUGUAAAGCUCUUUCGCCCGGGAAGAUAAUGACUGUACCGGGAUAAGAAGCCCCGGCUAACUUCGUGCCAGCAGCCGCCGUAAAAC